rnacentral:rRNA from 1 species
GUCCACGCAGUAAACGAUGAGUACUAGUUGUCGGGCUCUUAGAGUUCGGUGGCGAAGCUAACGCGUUAAGUACUCCGCCUGGGGACUACGGUCGCAAGACUAAAACUCAAAGAAAUUGACGGGGACCCGCACAAGCAGUGGAGCAUGUGGUUUAAUUCGAUGCUACGCGAAAACCUUACCAACCCUUGAAUCCAGAUUACCGGUACAGAAAUGUAUCUUUGGAGCAAUCCACAUUUGAGACAGGUGUUGCAUGGCUGUCGU